rnacentral:rRNA from 1 species
GGCUCAGGAUGAACGCUAGCUACAGGCUUAACACAUGCAAGUCGAGGGGCAGCAUGAAUAUUGGCUUGCCAAUAUUUGAUGGCGACCGGCGCACGGGUGAGUAACACGUAUCCAACCUUCCGGUUACUCGGGGAUAGGCUUUCGAAAGAAAGAUUAAUACCCGAUGUUGUGUAUCUUUCUCCUGAAAGAUACGCCAAAGGAUUCCGGUAACCGAUGGGGAUGCGUUCCAUUAGGCAGUUGGCGGGGUAACGGCCCACCAAACCUUCGAUGGAUAGGGGUUCUGAGAGGAAGGUCCCCCACAUUGGAACUGAGACACGGUCCAAACUCCUACGGGAGGCAGCAGUGAGGAAUAUUGGUCAAUGGACGGAAGUCUGAACCAGCCAAGUAGCGUGAAGGAUGACUGCCCUCUGGGUUGUAAACUUCUUUUAUACGGGAAUAACAUGAGGUACGCGUACCUUAUUGCAUGUACCGUUAUGAAUAAGCAUCGGCUAACUCCGUGCCAGCAGCCGCGGUAAUACGGAGGAUGCGAGCGUUAUCCGGAUUUAUUGGGUUUAAAGGGAGCGUAGGUGGGAUAUUAAGUCAGCUGUGAAAGUUUGGGGCUCAACCUUAAAAUUGCAGUUGAUACUGGUUUCCUUGAGUACGGUACAGGUGGGCGGAAUUCGUGGUGUAGCGGUGAAAUGCUUAGAUAUCACGAAGAACUCCGAUCGCGAAGGCAGCUCACCGGGCCGGAACUGACACUGAUGCUCGAAAGUGCGGGUAUCAAACAGGAUUAGAUACCCUGGUAGUCCGCACAGUAAACGAUGAAUACUCGCUGUUUGCGAUACACAGUAAGCGGCCAAGCGAAAGCGUUAAGUAUUCCACCUGGGGAGUACGCCGGCAACGGUGAAACUCAAAGGAAUUGACGGGGGCCCGCACAAGCGGAGGAACAUGUGGUUUAAUUCGAUGAUACGCGAGGAACCUUACCCGGGCUUAAAUUGCGCUGGCUUUUACCGGAAACGGUAUUUUCUUCGGACCAGCGUGAAGGUGCUGCAUGGUUGUCGUCAGCUCGUGCCGUGAGGUGUCGGCUUAAGUGCCAUAACGAGCGCAACCCUUAUCUUUAGUUACUAACAGUUUUGCUGAGGACUCUAAAGAGACUGCCGUCGUAAGAUGCGAGGAAGGUGGGGAUGACGUCAAAUCAGCACGGCCCUUACGUCCGGGGCUACACACGUGUUACAAUGGGGAGCACAGCAGGUUGCUACACGGCGACGUGAUGCCAAUCCGUAAAACUCCUCUCAGUUCGGAUCGAAGUCUGCAACCCGACUUCGUGAAGCUGGAUUCGCUAGUAAUCGCGCAUCAGCCACGGCGCGGUGAAUACGUUCCCGGGCCUUGUACACACCGCCCGUCAAGCCAUGAAAGCCGGGGGUACCUGAAGUACGUAACCGCGAGGAUCGUCCUAGGGUAAACCUGGUGAUUGGGGCUAAGUCGUAACAAGGUAACC